rnacentral:misc_RNA from 1 species
ACAAAUCAUGGGGUGCUGGACGCGGGGCGCGAGCUCUGGGUCUGGACAGCAGCGGGCGCCUGCGAGGGCGUUCGUCCGUUUCGACGGGCCGGGCCGCAAGGCCGGGAAGCAAGCAGGAAGCGAGUAGUAUGUGAGGAAGAAAGGGAAAGGAGA